AGCAGCCGCCGCGGGAACACGAAGGGGGCUAGCGUUGUUCGGAAUUACUGGGCGUAAAGCGCACGUAGGCGGAUAUUUAAGUCAGGGGUGAAAUCCCGCAGCUCAACUGCGGAACUGCCUUUGAUACUGGGUAUCUUGAGUAUGGAAGAGGUUAGUGGAAUUGCGAGUGUAGAGGUGAAAUUCGUAGAUAUUCGCAGGAACACCAGUGGCGAAGGCGGCUAACUGGUCCAUAACUGACGCUGAGGUGCGAAAGCGUGGGGAGCAAACAGGAUUAGAGACCCCUGUAGUCCCUGUCUCUUAUAC
rnacentral:rRNA from 1 species